CGGAGGGUGCGAGCGUUGUCCGGAAUCAUUGGGCGUAAAGGGCGCGUAGGUGGCCCGGUCAGUCUUUGGUGAAAGCGCGGGGCUCAACCCUGCGUCGGCCAGGGAUACUGCCGCGGCUGGAGCACUGUAGAGGCAGGCGGAAUUCCGGGUGUAGCGGUGGAAUGCGUAGAGAUCCGGAAGAACACCGGUGGCGAAGGCGGCCUGCUGGGCAGUUUGCUGACACUGAGGCGCGACAGCGUGGGGAGCAAACAGGAUUAGAUACCCUGGUAGUCCACGCCGUAAACGAUGGGCACUAGGCGCUUGGGGGAGCGACCCCCCGAGGGCCGGCGCUAACGCAUUAAGUGCCCCGCCUGGGGAGUACGGCCGCAAGGCUG
rnacentral:rRNA from 1 species